GGAGUAGCAAUACUCCCGCCGGCGACCGGCGCACGGGUGAGUAACACGUAUGAAACCUGCCCGUAGCAGGGGGGGAUAAGCGGAAGAAAUUCCGUCUAAUACCGCGUAACAACCCUUGGAGGCAUCUCCUCGGGUUUAAAGGAAGCGAUUCCGGCUACGGAUGGUCAUGCGUCGCAUUAGCUGGUUGGCGGGGUAACGGCCCACCAAGGCGACGAUGCGUAGGGGUUCUGAGAGGAAGGUCCCCCACACUGGUACUGAGACACGGACCAGACUCCUACGGGAGGCAGCAGUGAGGAAUAUUGGUCAAUGGCCGCAGGGCUGAACCAGCCAAGUCGCGUGAGGGAUGACGGUCCUAUGGAUUGUAAACCUCUUUUGUCAGGGAGCAAAGGGCGCCACGUGUGGCGCUUUGCGAGUACCUGAAGAAAAAGCAUCGGCUAACUCCGUGCCAGCAGCCGCGGUAAUACGGAGGAUGCGAGCGUUAUCCGGAUUUAUUGGGUUUAAAGGGUGCGCAGGCGGAAUGUCAAGUCAGCGGUAAAAUUUCGGGGCUCAACCCCGUCGUGCCGUUGAAACUGGCGUUCUUGAGUGAGCGAGAAGUAUGCGGAAUGCGUGGUGUAGCGGUGAAAUGCAUAGAUAUCACGCAGAACUCCGAUUGCGAAGGCAGCAUACCGGCGCCCGACUGACGCUGAGGCACGAAAGCGUGGGGAUCGAACAGGAUUAGAUACCCUGGUAGUCCACGCAGUAAACGAUGAAUGCUAGUUGUCCGGUUCUUUGGGACUGGGUGACA
rnacentral:rRNA from 1 species